rnacentral:rRNA from 1 species
UACGUAGGCAGCAAGCGUUGUUCGGAAUUACUGGGCGUAAAGAGUGUGUAGGCGGUUCAGUAAGUCGGGUGUGAAAACUUUGGGCUUAACCCAAAGCGUGCAUCCGAUACUGCUGUGACUUGAGUUCGGUAGGGGAGUGGGGAAUUCCUAGUGUAGCGGUGAGAUGCGCAGAUAUUAGGAGGAACACCGGUGGCGAAGGCGCCACUCUGGGCCGAAACUGACGCUGAGGAGCGAAAGCAUGGGUAGCAAACAGG